UCAAACUGAAGAUGGCGACCGGCGCACGGGUGAGUAACACGUAUCCAACCUGCCGAUAACUCUGGAAUAGCCUUUCGAAAGAAAGAUUAAUACCGGAUAGUAUACGAAUAUCGCAUGAUAUUUUUAUUAAAGAAUUUCGGUUAUCGAUGGGGAUGCGUUCCAUUAGUUUGUUGGCGGGUAACGGCCCACCAAGACUACGAUGGAUAGGGGUUCUGAGAGGAAGGUCCCCCACAUUGGAACUGAGACACGGUCCAAACUCCUACGGGAGGCAGCAUG
rnacentral:rRNA from 1 species